rnacentral:tRNA from 1 species
GCGGCAUAGCCAAGCGGUAAGGC